GCUGGGCACGGUGGCAUGUGCCUGUAGUCCCAGCUACUCGGGAGGCUGAGAUGGAAGGAUCGCUUGAGCCAGGAGUUCUGGGCUGUAGUGCGCUAUGCCAAUCGGGUGUCUGCACUAAGUUUGGCAUCAAUAUAGUGACCUACUGAGACCAGGGGAUCACCAAGUUGCCUAAGGAGGGGUGAACCAGCCCAGGUGGGAAAUCAAGCAGGUCAAAACUCCUGUGCUGAUCAAUACUGGGAUCGCACCUGUGAAUAGCCACUGCACUCCAGCCUGGGCAACAUAGCGAGACCCCGUCUCU
rnacentral:SRP_RNA from 1 species